AGGUAAACAUAAAUUUGACAGGAUAUCUAUCGAGGUCGUUUGAAUGAUUUAUAAAUAUUCCAACAAAAGCCACGUCUGUAUAGUGCGCGUAUCAGUUCAUCUAGGUUAUUUCAGUCUCGUAUUGUAGGAGAAGAUUCUGACACGCAAGAGCCAAACAGAGUCAGUUGAUGUGCAGUUCAAAGGCAAAACAAAACAGAGAGCUGGGCAAACACGGACCACUGGACAUACCAGAGGUGGGAUCAGGUGCCUAGGAGGAGUAAGCAUCCCCUGUUGACCGGUCACACUCGCCGUGAGCCCUAUAUCCUGAUCAGUCUGGUCUCGGAAUGUCCUCAAAAAUUCGAAUUAUGUUUCCUUCACUGGACAACACAUGGACAUUGUCACUGGAUUUACCAGCGAUACAGAUAUUACCACCAGAGUCUGCAUCAAGGCCACAUAGAGAUUUACGGUGUGGACUGUCGUAUUUCCACACGGUUUAACCACCAUCUGUAAUAGCCGUUACGACGUGUGUUUUUCUGUUACUGUAUAUUAUGUGUUUUUUUCGUGGCGAUGAUGUGCUUCACGGCAGUCUCUGCGCUGUACUCUUUCACCAUUCUUCCAUAUACUCAUUUAUCUUCGCGAUUUUGUCAUUGCAUGCACAGUAAAAGUAAGCAUCCUUAUUUGCUAUUCCAAAGUGUUUUGGAAGACUAGUUGAUAUCCUCUUUGACAAUUUGAAAUGGGAGUAAAGUGAUACCCUUUCGAUAUAUGUUGAACCGUGGCAUGUCACGAAUAAUUCCCCUGCCUUUUCACACAGACCGAAAGAUUCCGAGAACGAGUCAAUGGAUCGUGUGCACGCAAACAUUUUGUUAUAAAAGAAGCAUUUACCAUUGUUGCUCCCUUUACAACCCCGCUUUUUGUUGACAGCCAUGAUAGAGCGAACUUUCCAUUUGAUAAAAACGUACCAUUACGUACGCACCCUGCAUCAGUGCUAAAAUGAUUUUAUAAAGAUAACUCAACUUUUCUCAGAUCGGACUUGACAUCAAAUACGGACUCUGAAAAUACUGCAUCAGAAAAACUUUCAAGAGCCAUGCUAUCUUCCAAAAUAGGAUCCUUUCGUUCCUUAAGCCCUGUGCGUAUUUGUGUAAAUUCGUAAUUUUUGAGUUGUUCAAAUAUUUUUCUGCUUUUAUAGUCCUUCACAACCAUAUCGAUGUCAUCCUGACUUUUUCUACAGUCCUCAAUAUUUCUGUAACAGUAAUCUGUGCAUUGAAUUCCAUCUGAUAGGAUGUCUAUGCAUUUUUAGUAUUUUUCCUUAUUUCUCUUUCCAGCAGUAGCCAUUUUCGUUAGAUACUCAUUUUUCAGAUACUGCAAGUGAUUAAUAGCAACGCGAAUUUCUCUCGUGGUAUUCUCUGUAAUCUGGUCUGCUUUAGCAUCCAUUUCUGUAACGAACCUUUCUUGUUCCUUCUUUGCAUCUACUAAUUUGUUUUCAAGAAUGUGUGUCUUCUGACAGGCUGUCGAAAUUAUGACUAAGAAUCUCUAUGAGAGUCUCAGCAGUUUUCUUUAUAGCAUCAACACUUUCGAAUGUUCUGUGUUCCGUACUGACACACAUUGCGCAGCAUGGCUCUUCGUGAUCGUUACAGAAUAGCUCUAGUUUUCUAUCCUGAUGUGUUGAACACAUAUUUUCUCUACCAAUUCUCGGUGUAAUAUGCAUUCCUUUCAUUUCAUUCACUGGUACUAUCUUAUGGUCAAGUGUUCUUAGACUUCUUCUAUGAUAUUUUGUACACAAUUUGCACAAAUAUUCCAUGUAAAAGAAACAAAAAUCGGUUGCAUCCUCUACUUCGCUCUGUCGUAAGCAAGCCUGACAGUGUGUUUGUUCUGAUUCCCUUAAAAGUUUUCCCAAUAUAUCGUUUUCAGGGAAAAGUUCUGCCCACUUCUCUGGCUCACCUAAGGUAUUAUCAAUGGGAAUGUACUCACGGCAUAAUGGACAAUUAAAUCCCAAACGAGGCUCCGAAGAUUUACACACAUUUUCAAUGUAGGAAGAUAAACACUCAAUACUUAUUUCCCUUUAUUGACCUCUUACGCACGGUGAGGCGCAAUAUGUUUUCGUAAUCACGCGGUGCGUGCAAAUGCUUAUCGUUGCGAUCAUGUAUUGUCUAAAGGGUGA